GGCGGACGGGUGAGUAACGCAUAGGAAUCUGCCCGGUCGUGGGGGAUAACCUGGGGAAACUCAGGCUAAUACCGCAUACGUCCUACGGGAGAAAGGCCGCGAUCGGAUGAGCCUAUGUCGGAUUAGCCGGCUGGUGAGGUAACGGCUCACCAAGGCGGCGAUCCGUAGCUGGUUUGAGAGGAUGAUCAGCCACACCGGGACUGAGACACGGCCCGGACUCCUACGGGAGGCAGCAGUGGGGAAUAUUGGACAAUGGGCGCAAGCCAGAUCCAGCCAUGCCGCGUGUGUGAAGAAGGCUUUCGGGUUGUAAAGCACUUUCAGUGAGGAAGAAGACAUCACUAACAGAAGAAGCACCGGCUAACUCCGUGCCAGCAGCCGCGGUAAUACGGAGGGUGCAAGCGUUAAUCGGAAUGACUGGGCGUAAAGCGCGCGUAGGCGGCACGAUCAGCCGGUUGUGAAAGCCCCGGGCUCAACCCGGGAACCGCAUCCGGAACUGUCGCGCUGGAGUGCAGGAGAGGAAGGUAGAAUUCCCGGUGUAGCGGUGAAAUGCGUAGAGAUCGGGAGGAAUACCAGUGGCGAAGGCGGCCUUCUGGACUGACACUGACGCUGAGGCGCGAAAGCAUGGGUAGCAAACAGGAUUAGAUACCCUGGUAGUCCAUGCGGUAAACGAUGUCGACCAGCCGUUGGGGCCCUUGUGGCGAAGUUAACGCGAUAAGUCGACCGCCUGGGGAGUACGGCCGCAAGGUUAAAACUCAAAUGAAUUGACGGGGGCCCGCACAAG
rnacentral:rRNA from 1 species